rnacentral:rRNA from 1 species
UACGAAGGGGGGCUAGCGUUGCUCGGAAUCACUGGGCGUAAAGCGCACGUAGGCGGAUUGUUAAGUCAGGGGUGAAAUCCUGGAGCUCAACUCCAGAACUGCCUUUGAUACUGGCGAUCUCGAGUCCGGGAGAGGUGAGUGGAACUGCGAGUGUAGAGGUGAAAUUCGUAGAUAUUCGCAAGAACACCAGUGGCGAAGGCGGGUCUCUGGGCAGUAACUGACGCUGAGGAGCGAAAGCGUGGGGAGCGAAACAGG